GGAAGCCCUGUGAUUGGAGGGGCCGCGGUGGUUCUCUGCCUCCCACAGGCUCUGUCACCUGCCGGGGGCCUGGAGCUUGUCCAGUGUUUCAGAGCUAAACCAGCACCAAUGAACUCAUGUUGGCCCUCCUAAAAUAACCCCUAGGCCUUUUGUACAGAAGGGGAAAACUGAGGCAUCAGAAGGGUUGGGUGAGUGCCUGCUCACAGAUUGGUAGCUAGGAAGAGAGUCAGUACAGUAAGAUGCCUGUUAGACCAUUGUUCUUCAAACCGUGAAAUGCAACACACUCGUGAAUCUCAAAAUCAAUGUAGUGGGUCUCAACCAUCAAUUUAUUAAAUGAAAUGCAAUAGAAUAGAAUAGAAAAUAUCAAUGUGUAUAAAUAGUAGAAGUAAAUGUUUUGUGAAACUGUUUACAGAUUGCAGAUAAUAUGUACAACAAAUAACGAUAUACAAUGUAUUUCUUUCUGCAGGUCAGGAUCAAAACAGUUUGGAAGCCACUGUGUUAAGACCCUGGUUAGUGUGUGAGAUCCAUGAUGGCAGGGACUGUUCCCUCCCUACCUGCAGCACCCACCAGGACUUCCCACACAGGUGAUGGGGGAAGGAGGCUGGAGAGGCAGCCGAGAGAAGGGGCUGAGUGUACAGGAGCACAUUGGCCGAGAUGACUCAGCAUCAUCUCUGACUAGCUCGUUACUGUGGUGAGUCAUCCAAACGCUCCACACCUGUUUCCUCACCUGUAACGUGAAGAUAAUAACAGCCCCACCCUCAGGGAUGUUAUGCAGGACUAAAUAAGAGAAUACAUGUCAAAUACAUAGCAUGGUGCCUGCCACAGGGUAAGUGCUCAGUAAAUGUUAGCAAUUAUUAUGGGAUGCUCUAUAAAUCAUUCCUAGAUAAAUAAAUUAUGAAAAACAAGCUUGGGCUAAUCCCAUGAUGCCAGGCCACUGACCAGAGCCUGUCCUGUCACUUUAAGUUUCCUCCUCACCCUGUACAAAGGGCAAAUUUAGUACUCUUCCCAAAACCCUGGUGUGUAUCCCACUGUCCUCUGGUGCUCUGUAUGUGUUCAUACCUAGGUACUCAGUGGGGGACACAAUGUACUGGAAAGAACACUGGAAAUCAGGAAACAGGUUCAAUUCUAGGUCAGCCACCAACUAGCCAUGUGACCUCUGAGAGUCAUUUCACUCAUUUGAGCCUCAGUUUCCUCACCUGUCCAAUUAGGGGGUUAGAUGACAAGGGUGCUUUCAGUCCCUUCCUGCUCUGACGUUUGGCAAAUUUAUCCAGUGUUGUGUGGGCAUAGCCCAUGAGGCUUCGUGCCAGGCUGCAGGGACUGGCUGGAAAGCUGGAAAACCCCUCCCUGGACAUAUUUCAUAAUAUCUAGGCUUUCAAGCCCUCAGGCCCCCACAUCCCUGCCCACUCCCUCUCACAACCACUUCCAGAAGUCAGCUGAAAAACCCAUACCAAUAUCCCAGAACAACUAGUGCCAACAUUUAUUGAGCACUGACAGCAUGUCCGCAUUGUGACAAAACACUUUACAUGGAUUAUUGUAAUCCUCCUGACACGGCUCUAUAACGCUGGAACUACUAUUGCUUUGUCAGUGAGGAACCUGAAGCUUGGAGGCCUCACAAGUAAGGAACCCGGUCUUAAAGCCUGAAUGAACUGUGACAAACAGCAUGAGGACCACUUGGCCCAGGCGGAAAGUAGAAAGCUUCUAGAAGCCAGCAGCCUCCUUCUUUGUCUCUCAGCUUCACAGCUGCCCACAAAGCCCCAAGGAGAAAGCCUUCCAAAAAAGGCAGUGACUUGGAUAGAACAAGCCACGGGACAGCGCGGAGGAGCUGAUCUUUUCCAGGACUGAGCCGCGUGCUGAUGGAGAGAGGCAAUGGGUACCGUGAGACUGGUGAGAACAGCAAGCUGUCGUGCAUAUUCAAGCUGCAUCAGCAAAAGGAGAGGAUGUUUUAGAUGGGGCUUUCCUGACCCCCAUUUUCUAACAUGACAAUGCUUAUUAGAAGAAGGUUUGAAGUGCUAAGCCUCGAUGACAGUCUUUAUGGUUUGUUAUGAAUUUCCUUAGAAAUAUAAACACUUAGGAAACAACUGUCUCCCUCCCUCCUUUUGUGGUCACUGACAUCAGAGGUCAGGAACAUAACAGGCCUGCUGCUCAUCCCUGUGCUCCCUGAGAGCCUCGUGGCCCAGCAGGUUACCACGGCAGUGCCCUCACACACUUGGGCAACAUGCCCUAAGUUAAUAGCCCAGGCUGAGAAGGUAGAAGGAAUAUCUCCAGGUUAUUCAGAGAAAACCGGAAGGAGGGAGGAGGAAUAUUAAAGUUUCAGUUUCCAGUGAAACCGGAUCUUACACAGAAAGGGCAAAAAUAACCAAGACCCAGGGAACAUUCUGAGCACAGAGGUGGGAGGUUCCAGCCCACGUGCUGUGUGAGCUGAAUUCUCUUCCUCUCCUGAGAGAGUGACACAUGCUAUUAGUCCCAUCCUCCAUUAAUCCCAUUUUGGAAGUUGGGAAAGUACAGCAAGAAUAACUGUCAUUAUCUUACCUAACUCACACAGUUGGUCAGGGGAUAAAAUAAGACCAUGAACAUGAAAUGCUUUCAAAAUAUAAAAAUCUCAAUAUAAGUCAAAUACAUUCAAAUCUUUCUCAUAUGAUAUAAAUAAAUAAAUGCAAAUAGAAAGUGACUCUCUCCUUCUAUUACUGUUAUAACUACUACUAUUAUUUUAUACUCUUUCCUUAAAGGACAAGGGACAAUAUGCCCUGGUAUUUCAUUUUCCCCAGAGAGCUACCAAAUGCCUCCAAUCCAAAUAAAUUAACAUUGUUCUUUUGAUUGGCAUCUGGUGAGAACAAGAUUUCACUUGGACAUACAGAGACAGAAGUGUGGAGGGGACAGAAAGGAGAGGAAAAGGAUCAGAAAGAAGAGGAAAAGGAAAGCAUUUUAAUUUGUGGUUCUUAGUAUUCAUAUCCAUUGUUUACAGGGGGUGGAACACUUAAUAUUAUACUUUUUUUACAAUAACAAGUUGGAGCAAAACACUCAAGAUAAACAUUCAUCCUUCAGAUUUAAAAAAGAAAAGAAAAGGCAGCAGAGAGGUAAGAAUAAAAUUAUGUUAGAGACUAAAUAGGAAUUAACUAGUAGUCUGAAGUCAACAUAGAAAUGAAUGGAUAAAGAUGUGGAGUGUGUGUGUGUGUGUGUGUGUGUGUGUGUAAAUGGAAUAUUACUCAGCCAUAAAAAAGAAUGAAACUUUUGCCACUUGUGACAACAUGGACAGACCUAGAGGGUAUUAUACCAAGUGAUAUAAGUCAUAAAAAAAAUACCAUAUGAUUUCACUCAUGUGGAAACUUAAAAAAGGAACAGAAGUAGACUCAUAAAUACAGAGAACAAACUGGUGGUUGCCACGGGGGAGUAAAUGGGGGUACAGGCAAAAUGGGUGAAGGGGAUAAAGUGGUACAAAUCUCCAAUUAUAAAAUAAAUAAGUCACAGAGAUGAAAAAUACAGCAUAGGGAGAAUAGUCUAUAAUUUUGUAUUAACUUUGUAUGGUGACAGAUGGUAACUACACUUACAGUGGGGAGCAUUUCAUAAUGUAUAUAAUUGUUGAAUCACUAUGUUGUAUACCUGAAACCAAUAUAAUAUUGUAUAUCAUCUAUACUUCAAUUUAAAAAAAUAUAUAUAUAUAUAUACAUAUAGUGGCCCAAAAUUUCCCUGCAGACCCAAACACAUUCUUCUUUCAUCCUUGGAUGUCAGGCUGAGUAUGAGAUAGUAUACCUUCUGAGGUAUUAAAGAAUUCCUAGUAUUUCCCUCUACCUUAGGGUUGCCAAAUUCAGCAAAUAUUUAGGACAUACUUAUAUAAAAAUUAAUUGCUAUUGAAUUCAGAUUUAACUGGGUGUCCUGUAUUUUAUCUGGCCAGACCUAGACCUAGAGGGUAUUAUACCAAGUGAUAUAAGUCAUAAAAAAACUCCACCUCUAGCCACCAUGACCCCAAUGAUCAGCCCCUUUGAUUAACAGUAUUUACCAAACAUGCUAUCAUAACAACCCAUUCUGAUGCAAUAGGUCCAGGGUCCAUCCUGAGAACUUUUAUAUUUAAUAAGCACUCCAAAGGAUUCUCACCAGGCAAGUCUGGAAGAUACUAGAGUCCAACAUAUCACCACUGAGGCCAAGACCACAAGUUGAAUUUCUACGUGAGGCUGUCCUCUUUGCUAGAUUCACAGUCCAGAGACAGCACACCACCCGUAUCAGUAUCCAACCCCCCAAGAACACACCCUUUGCUGAUGGAACAAAACUCUGCACUCAUCCAUGUUGGCUAUGUUUUCCUAUUACCAGGCCAAGUGCUUGCUAUACACACCCAGGACUGCUGUCCUCUAGCCUCAAGAGAAAGCUGAGCCCAACCAGUUGUUUUUCCAGGCACUGCCACCCCUGCCUGCAACAGUCAAGGUAGGGGAGGCAGAGGGCUCUCCAGGAUCAAGUAUUCAACAAAUUACAUACAAAAAGUCUCAGAUGGUUCAUUUUUGGUUUUUUAAGUCAACUGCCAAGACACUUUCAGCAGCUAAACUUGACCCGUGCAGGGGUAGCCCUGCACCUUCUCCCCUGCCCAACCCUGGACUGCCCCAGGGGACAAAAGUCACCACAGUUGUGCAUAAUAUUCUACAAUUGCAUCUCUAAAAUAUAGUCAUGGACCUAAGAGCUUAUCUGGUCAGGCCUCAGCAGACCGCAGCUACAUGGCUUGUCUCUACACAGAGGAAGACGUGUGACAGACACUCCAAGAGUGCAUUUUCUCCCCCCACAAACUCCGACUUCUCUGGGCCACAGGUGCCUACAUUUUUCUCUUGCUUUAGGUUGAAAAGGAUGGAGGAGGAGCGGGGGGCAUCCUGGGAGUGGCACCAGGCUUUCCCCCUGGCUUCCGUUCUGCUCCAGCCAGCUUCGGACCUGCCAAUCCAAUGAGGCCCCCUCUCCAUGGCUCUCCCUUCUUCAAAACUCGGUUUCAGAAUUGCAGCUCCCUUAUAAGAGAAGCUUAAUAAUAUUAUGAUAGCAAACUGGGAAGGAGGAUAUGGCAAAUGCGAAGGGAGGAGGCCACAUCACACUUGAGCGGCCAGCUCAGCCCAGAGGGUGGAGAACCUGUGGGGGUGGAGGGGCGAGGCCCACCCCUCUGCCUCCCCACUCCUAGCCCCAGGGAGUGUUUCAUUUGCUAAUGAGGUCAGUGGGGCCCAGAUGUUGG